UCUGCCCAUGACACAGGAAUAACCAGUGGAAACGCUGGCUAAUGCCUGAUGACGUGCAGCCUCUUCGGAGAUCUGUACCAAAGGUAGCUUCGGCCUCCGGUCAUGGAUGAGCCCGCGGCCCAUUAGCUUGUUGGCGGGGUAACGGCCCACCAAGGCGAAGAUCGGUAGCCGGCCUGAGAGGGCGCACGGCCACACUGGAACUGAAACACGGUCCAG
rnacentral:rRNA from 1 species